UCUAGGUUGCCCACUGGCCAAGCAAUCACUCUCAUACUUGCUGGUACACUGGUUUAGCUUGAAUGCUGCCACUUCCUAUUUGUCUCCAACCUCUUGCCUUCCUAUCUUGCUCUACACUGAAGAAUGACCUCUGCAUAGUCCCUGUCCUGGCUUCCUUGCCUGUUGGUUUCACCCAUUGGUUUCUACUGGUUUUCAACAAGUGAGAGUGAUCGAUGGGAGGCAGGUGACCAGAGGUCAAGUGGUAACUAUAUGAGAGAAGGUCACAGUGGAGGAGCACAGCAUGUUGGUCAUUCCCACUAACAGGAUAAGCAGUGUGAUGGUAAAUACUGGCUUUCGUCAAGAACUAGGAAAGCCUAGGAGACAAACCUGUAAGUAUAUCUGUGAGAUAUUCCCUAGACUUUUCGGUUGACUGGGAAUCUGAGACUACAUAACCCAGGGACCUAAGGUAAAGUCAAAACUGUACAGUGGAGAAAAGAAAGCAUCUUCAACAAAUGGUCCUAGUGUAACUGAUAGUAUGCAUGUAGAAGAGUGAAAAUUCAUCUGUAAUUAUCACCUGGUACAAAGUUAAAUCCAAGUGGAUCAAGGACCACCACAUAAAACCAGAUAUACUGAAUCUAAUAGAAGAGAACAUGGGAAAGAACCAUGAACUCAGUGAUAAUAGGGCAAAAUGGCAACUUACAGAUUGGGAAAAGGCAUACAUUAACCCUUUGUCAGAUAGAGGGCUAAUAUUCAUAAUAUACAGCGAACUCAAGAAAUUAG
ensembl:lncRNA